rnacentral:tRNA from 1 species
GGGAAUGUGGCUUAGUGGUAGAGUUCUUGCCUUAUGUGCAUGAAGCCCUAGGUUCAAUUCCUCAGUACCA